rnacentral:tRNA from 1 species
GAGGGUAGAGCUCAGAGGUAGAGCACACGCUUAGCAGGCCCGAGGUCUUGGGUUCAAUCCCCAGCACCUCCA